rnacentral:rRNA from 1 species
GACGAACGCUGGCGGCGUGCUUAACACAUGCAAGUCGAACGGUGAAGCGCCUUCCUUUUUGGUGGGUGUGGAUGCGUGGCGAACGGGUGAGUAACACGUGCGUAACCUGCCCCCUUCUUCUGGAUAACCGCAUGAAAGUGUGGCUAAUACGGGAUAUUCUGGUUCUGUCGCAUGAUGGGUCUGGGAGAGAUAUUGUUUCGGUGCGGGAUGGGCUCGCGGCCUGUCAGCUUGUUGGUGGGGUGAUGGCCUCCCAAGGCGGUGACGGGUAGACGGCCUGGGAGGGUGGCCGGCCAGAGUGGGACUGCGGCACGGCUGGGACUGCGACAGGGGCCAGACGUCGAGGGGAGUGAACAGUGGGCACUAUUGUGAUGCGGCGGCGCCGCGGGUGCGACGGCGCCGUGUGGGUGGUGAACCUCUUUCGGCAGUGAAGCAGGUCUGCCUCGUAUGUGGGUGGGUUGACGGUAGCUGGAGAAGAAGCGCCGGCUAACUACGUG